UACGUAGGGUGCGAGCGUUGUCCGGAAUUAUUGGGCGUAAAGGGUGCGUAGGUGGCGCCGUAAGUCAGGUGUGAAAUUUCGGAGCUUAACUCCGAAACUGCAUUUGAUACUGCGGUGCUUGAGGACUGGAGAGGAGACUGGAAUUUACGGUGUAGCAGUGAAAUGCGUAGAGAUCGUAAGGAAGACCAGUGGCGAAGGCGGGUCUCUGGACAGUUCCUGACACUGAGGCACGAAGGCCAGGGGAGCGAACAGG
rnacentral:rRNA from 1 species